rnacentral:sRNA from 1 species
GAUCACUUAACCUUUCUUUUCCACUCAGUGUAAAUCAGCAGUCCCUAACCUUUUUGGCACCAGGGACCAGUUUGGUGGGAGAUGAUUUUCCCAUGGACAGGGCAGUUGGCAGGGGUGUGGCGGCGGAUGGUUUCGGAAUGAAACUGUCCCACCUCUGAUCAUCAGGCAUUCGAUUCUCACAAGGAGCAUGUGGCCUAGAUCCCUGGCGUGCACAGUUCACAAUAGGGUUCAGGCUCCUAUGAGAACUGAAUGACAGCAGGUGGAGCUCAGGCCACAAUACUAGCUUGCCUGCCACUCAUCUGCUCUGCAACCCAGUUCCUAACAGGCCACCAAACAGUACUGGUCUGCAGCCCAGGGAUUGGGGACCCCUGCUGUAAAUAACAGAAGCAAGAGGUGAAAAGCAAACAGAAGAAACCCCAGCAUUGCUGACCACUUCUUGGGUUUGCCCGGCCCCUUGGCUUUCCACAGGCUGGCCCUGACGAAGCUGGACAUCCUGGACGUACUGGGUGAGAUUAAAGUCGGCGUCUCAUACAAGCUGAACGGGAAAAGGAUUCCCUAUUUCCCAGCUAACCAGGAGAUGCUUCAGAAGGUCGAAGUCGAAUAUGAAACGCUGCCUGGCUGGAAAGCAGACACCACAGGCGCCAGGAGGUGGGAGGACCUGCCCCCGCAGGCCCAGAACUACAUCCGCUUUGUGGAGAAUCACGUGGGAGUCGCAGUCAAAUGGGUUGGUGUUGGCAAGUCAAGAGAGUCGAUGAUCCAGCUGUUUUAGUCGCAGACUGAGCUGAUCCCAACAGGCCCUGGCAGCGUCUGGACUUGUAUAAACAGCAGCAAUCACGUUCCUCGGCCACCACAACCAACACCAAAGCAGGAAAACCAUUUUCUGUACUUUUAUAUUUCUGUUCAACCUGUUGGUUUCUACAAUGAUUUUAAACAUUGGAAAGCCAGCCUUGUGUAUAUUUUUAAAAAUUAUAUUUAAAAUGAGCCAAAGUGCUCAAAGCAGAGACCUUCUAUGACACCUUAGUGUCACAUGGUUGCGUGUCCAGCCGAAGCAGCGUAAUAAACAUCUCCAAUGGCCGCCGAAUGGGAGCAGUCAUUA